rnacentral:rRNA from 1 species
AUUGAACGCUGGCGGCAUGCCUUACACAUGCAAGUCGAACGGCAGCACGGGGGCAACCCUGGUGGCGAGUGGCGAACGGGUGAGUAAUACAUCGGGACGUGCCCCGUAGCGGGGGAUAACCAGUCGAAAGACUGGCUAAUACCGCAUACGCUCCACGGAGGAAAGCAGGGGACCCGCAAGGGCCUUGCACUAUGGGAGCGGCCGAUGCCCGAUUAGCUAGUUGGUGAGGGAAAGGCUCACCAAGGCUACGAUCGGUAGCUGGUCGGAGAGGACGACCAGCCACACUGGGACUGAGACACGGCCCAGACUCCUACGGGAGGCAGCAGUGGGGAAUUUUGGACAAUGGGCGCAAGCCUGAUCCAGCCAUGCCGCGUGCGGGAAGAAGGCCUUCGGGUUGUAAACCGCUUUUGGCAGGAACGAAACGGCGCGAGCUAAUACCUCGCGCUAAUGACGGUACCUGCAGAAUAAGCACCGGCUAACUACGUGCCAGCCGCCGCCGUAACAC